rnacentral:rRNA from 1 species
AGUGUAUGUGGUGGAUGCCUUGGCGAUCACAGGCGAUGAAGGACGUGACAGCCUGCGAAAAGCUGUGGGGAGCUGGCAAAUAAGCUUUGAUCCACAGAUGUCCGAAUGAGGGAACUCACCUGCUUUGCAGGUAUCCCAUCCUGAAUAUAUAGGGAUGGGAGGCGAACGAAGCGAACUGAAACAUCUAAGUAGCUUCAGGAAAAGAAAUCAACCGAGAUUCCGAAAGUAGCGGCGAGCGAAAUCGGAUCAGCCCAGCACUCGAUAGCAGCCAACUUACGGGAACGGUCUGGAAAGUCCGGCCAUAGAGGGUGAUAGCCCCUUACUGGAAAAGGCAGCUGUGGUACUAAGUGUGCGAUAAGUAGAGCGGGACACGUGACAUCCUGCUCGAAGAUGGGGGGACCAUCCUCCAAGGCUAAAUACUCGUGAUCGACCGAUAGCGUACCAGUACUGUGAAGGAAAGGUUAAAAGAACCCCGGGAGGGGAGUGAAAUAGAUCCUGAAACCGCAUACAUACAAACAGUAGGAGCCUCGUUAAGGGGUGACUGCGUACCUUUUGCAUAAUGGGUCAGCGACUUACGUUUAAUGGCGAGCUUAACCGUAUAGGGGAGGCGCAGCGAAAGCGAGUUCGAACAGAGCGUUCAGUCGUUAGGCGUAGACCCGAAACCAGAUGAUCUAUCCAUGGCCAGGUUGAAGGUGUGGUAACACACACUGGAGGACCGAACCGACUAGUGUUGCAAAAUUAGCGGAUGAGCUGUGGAUAGGGGUGAAAGGCUAAACAAAUCUGGAGAUAGCUGGUUCUCCCCGAAAACUAUUGAGGUAGUGCCUCGUGUAUGACUCCAGGGGGUAGAGCACUGUUAUGGCUAGGGGGACAUGGCGUCUUACCAAACCAUGGCAAACUCCGAAUACUUGGAAGUUUGAGCACGGGAGACAGAGCACCGGGUGCUAACGUCCGGACUCAAGAGGGAAACAACCCAGACCGCCGGCUAAGGUCCCUAAUAUUGACUAAGUGGAAAACGAAGUGGAAAGGCUAAGACAGUCAGGAAGUUGGCUUAGAAGCAGCCAUCCUUCAAAGAAAGCGUAAUAGCUCACUGAUCGAGUCUUUCUGCGCGGAAGAUGUAACGGGGCUAAGUCAAUAACCGAAGCCGCGGAUUCACACUUGUGUGUGAGUGGUAGGGGAGCGUUCUGUAAGCCUGCGAAGGUGACUCGUAAGGGUUGCUGGAGGUAUCAGAAGUGCGAAUGCUGACAUGAGUAACGUUAAAGCGGGUGAAAAGCCCGCUCGCCGUAAGCCCAAGGUUUCCUGCUCUACGUUCAUCGGAGCAGGGUGAGUCGGCCCCUAAGGUGAGGCUGAGAAGCGUAACUGAUGGGAACAAGGUUAAUAUUCCUUGACCACCGCUGAAUGCGAAGGGGGGACGGAGUAUUGAAGAUCAUCCGGGUGUUGGAUAUCCCGGUUUGCGAGCGUAGGAGGCUGACAGGCAAAUCCGUCAGCGAAUCUCCGAGGCGAAGCAUCGAGCUCUCUUUUGAGCGAAGUGAUUGGAUGUGCUUCCAGGAAAAGCCUCUAAGCUCCAGUUCAGCGGGACCGUACCGCAAACCGACACUGGUGGGCGAGCUGAAUAUGCUCAGGCGCUUGAGAGAACUCAGGAGAAGGAACUCGGCAAAUUGACACCGUAACUUCGGGAUAAGGUGUGCCUUUGUAGCGUGGAGGGAGAAACACCCCGAGCGCGAAGAGGUCUCAGAUAAUCGGUGGCUGCGACUGUUUAUUAAAAACACAGCACUCUGCAAAGACGAAAGUCGACGUAUAGGGUGUGAUGCCUGCCCGGUGCUGGAAGAUUAAUUGAUGGGGUGCAAGCUCCUGAUCGAAGUCCCAGUAAACGGCGGCCGUAACUAUAACGGUCCUAAGGUAGCGAAAUUCCUUGUCGGGCAAGUUCCGACCUGCACGAAUGGCAUAACGAUGGCCACACUGUCUCCUCCUGAGACUCAGUGAAGUUGAAGUGUUUGUGAUGAUGCAAUCUCCCCGCGGCUAGACGGAAAGACCCCAUGAACCUUUACUGUAGCUUUGCAUUGGACUUUGAACCGAUCUGUGUAGGAUAGGCGGGAGCCUGUGAAACCACAACGCCAGUUGUGGCGGAGGCGUCCUUGAAAUACCGCCCUGAUUUGUUUGAGGUUCUAACCUGGGACAGUCAUCCUGUCCGGGGACCGUGCAUGGUAGGCCAUAUAUGUGGACUGAUGCUGAAGCAACAACAUUGUGGGAGGUUCUCCCAAUAAAUAAACAGAGUAAAGAAUUUUGUCUGCAGAAUCGUUCUUCAUUGAACCAUCCUAUGCAGGGAGGGUAUGAUACGUGGUUUUAUGAAGAUAUAGCAGGUAUUCGAGUUGACGAAUCGGGGGCAGGAUUUAAAGUCGUUCGAUUAGAGCCUACAAUGGCCUCUUAUUUGGAAUGGGCUUCUGCUUCCGUAUAUUCGGGAUAUGGUAAGACUGUUAGUGAUUGGUUUUGGAAAAAUGAUCAGUUUAUUUGGAAAAUAGAACUUCCUGCGAAUACAUCGGGAUUAGUCGCUUUACCGAAUGGGCGACAAGUUGAAAUUAAUGGUAUAGAUUUUAGUAAGGAAACAUUUCCAUUAGUUGAAAAAAGAGAAAAGAGUAAUCUCUAUUGUUUUUUAUC